ensembl:lncRNA
GUGGAAAAAUUAACUGCUGUUGUUUUAAACCACUACAUUUGCAAUUCAUUCUGGCCUCCAGGUUCGUUGCUUCCAAGUCCCGGGGAAAAAAUCCCCAACAAGUAGUGCCACGAACAGGGACUUGAAAGGAAGGCUGAACAAAGCAAUGAGCCCCUGCAGAAAGAGGAUACAGAAGUCUCUACUCAAGACUCCGUGCCUCCCACAAUGGAGUCCAACUAGCAGCCGCCGUGCUUAAUUUAAAAACAAAAAGAGGAUAUGUUGGGAAGCAUAGUACAAAAUAGCCGUAAAAGGAGAAAGUCCAUGGGAAAAUGGCGAAGGGCCAGAAGUACCCAGCUUUGUACUGCGGACAGAAAAACAUCUCCUGCCUUUGGUUAUGCUUGGCGCCAAGAUUUAAUAAUAAAUAGGGAUGUUACUUGAGAAAACUUGUGGUGGGAUAAGCACAUGAGUCACUUAGACCACGCUGUCCUUGAAAUGUUUUUACUGCUUAUGUGUUAACCCCGUAUACGCUCUGCUGGCUGUAUACUUUAAGCUCUCUGUUCCUGCUUCUAUAAAAAGGCUUGACUGCAG